rnacentral:rRNA from 1 species
AUUGAACGCUGGCGGCAGGCCUAACACAUGCAAGUCGGACGGUAGCACAGAGAGCUUGCUCUCGGGUGACGAGUGGCGGACGGGUGAGUAAUGUCUGGGGAUCUGCCCGAUAGAGGGGGAUAACCACUGGAAACGGUGGCUAAUACCGCAUAACGUCGCAAGACCAAAGAGGGGGACCUUCGGGCCUCUCACUAUCGGAUGAACCCAGAUGGGAUUAGCUAGUAGGCGGGGUAACGGCCCACCUAGGCGACGAUCCCUAGCUGGUCUGAGAGGAUGACCAGCCACACUGGAACUGAGACACGGUCCAGACUCCUACGGGAGGCAGCAGUGGGGAAUAUUGCACAAUGGGCGCAAGCCUAAUGCAGCCAUGCCGCGUGUAUGAAGAAGGCCUUCGGGUUGUAAAGUACUUUCAGCGGGGAGGAAGGCGAUGUGGUCAAUAACCGCAUUGAUUGACGUUACCCGCAGAAGAAGCACCGGCUAACUCCGUGCCAGCCGCCGCGGUAA